rnacentral:lncRNA from 1 species
AUGAGUUGAAGGUUGAUAAGUUGGCAUUGAUUAGGGAGACUUAAUCUUCCUUGAUUCAAAUCUAAUUCAUCUUGAUCAAUUGAUCAAGUGAAUGGUUUUGCAUUAAGGAUGGGUUGUUUUCUAAAUCAUGCAAAAGGCUUAAACCAAUACAAGAUCAAUUCUCAUUUUCUUUUUGGCAUGGCAAGUUGUUGGAACUUGGUUCACUAAUCAAGACUUGUAACUUGUGUUGUUGCCUACAUUAUUAUUG